AUUCCCUGAUGGGACCCACUGCCUGAGAACCCCACCCCCACAGUUAGAGGGUUAGUUAAAUGGUUUAUAAUGGCUGUCCAAGCCUCUGUUAUGGAUGACCUUAGCACGUGGUAACUGGCCAGACCCCCUUAUGCAUGGGCCCCUACCACUGCAUUCCCCCUGUGGCCCAUUCAUGCCCCAGUCCGACGCUGGCAACAGAUGGCUUGGAACUAAGUACUGGACAUAAUGUAUGCACAGUGACUGGAAGCCAAAGCUAGUCCAAGAGGCCAGAUAUCCCACAUUCACAAGCCUGGAACCUUGGAGGCACUGUUGGGAUUAGAGCCAGCUGCAGGAUACCAUUGUACCAAAGAAGAUCACACUCAUUUGACUGGGAGCGGGUUGUAACAAGCUGACAACAUGCUGAUCUGCAAAGACUCUCCACUGUACAGGAAUGCUGAGCUGGUCUAUUGUUUUCUGCCAUAAUCUUGCUUGGGGAGCACCGAUUUCUUACCAGUUAUUGUGGAUUGAUAGUCUUGAAUAUACUUGAUUAGUUUUAGUUCAUCUUCUAUCAUUUGAGUUUUCUGCUAAUGACCUCUCUUCUUCAGCUCCACAAUUCUGUUGUCAAACCAAUGUGCUUAUUCAUGUGAUGUGAAUGGUCAUGUACAAACACAAGUGAUAAUAUCAUUGCACAUCCCUGUAAUAGUAACACACAAGAGAAUAAGGAUCCUCACAGGCACCUAUUACAUCUCAGAGAUCCACAAAUGCCAUCAGAGUGGUGGAAAUAAUGUUGAGUAAUGGUCCAACCAAGUAUCUGGGCUUAUCAUUAGACAAGAGAAUUUUAACUUAAUAUAGAAAAUAAUAUCACAUUGUGUAUUCACUUUUAUGUGUACCUGAAAAAAUAACUUAGAUAAAUCCUAAAAGUAUUCAUUGUGCAGAGACGGUCAUUACCAAGGUGUGAGAGUUGAUAAUUGACCCAGCGAAAUCCCUAUGGAAAAAAACAUUUUUAUGCUGCAUGACUAGACCAACAUCAAUAUGAGUGAUUGAAGAGUGAAAUUUGGGGGCAUACACUUCAAGUAAAGAAAAAAAUAGUUUUAUAUAUUGACCAAUUUAGUUAUAAAUAUAUAUUCAAACUUCAAAAAGUUUAGCAAUUAAAAAUAACCAUUACGUUGAUGUAUACAUUGUAUGUGCCAGUGUCCCUUAAGAGAUUAAAAAGCUGUCACCAACUCUGGCAAUGCAAACUAAAGCGGAGUACACACUAGGCUACCGGAUUGUCCGCCCGUCCGAUCCGCCAACGUAUCUCAUGAUCAGCUCACACUUACCGAUUGUUGGCCCUAUGUGUUGUGCCUGAUGUCACAACUGGGCGGGCAUUUACAUGUGUCCACCCAGUUGUGCUGUCAUUCACCAGCGGCCUCUGCAGCAGGACGGCUAGCUACCUGUAUACACACAGCACGAUGCGCCCAUAUAUCCGAAAAUAUAUCAGCCAUCGGCUGUGCUGCAGGGCCAACGCGAUAUGUCUGCCAAUGACACCAUUCGAACGACCAAUAUAUCGGCCAGUGUGUGUACCCAGCAUAAGAGUUGCAUUUCUCCCAUUGAAACCUGCAUUUGCAUAAAGCAAUUUUCAAACUGAAUAGAGAAAAGUUGUAGCGACAGGUUUCUGCCACGGAAAAAUGAAGUUCAUGUCUAGAACCCUCCAUAUUGAAAGUCAGCUUAUAUUACCUUCACAUGAAUAUAUUAACUUUAGAACUAACAGGCAAGCAAAAUUCCAGCAUGAUACAGCCGUCCUUCUGUCAGAUCACUUUCAGGAAUAAUUACUAUUUCACUCACUGGUAUUACACAAGUAAUUAAAUUAGGUGUUUUCGUUUGUUUUGUAAUCAUUGCUGAUUACAAAUAUGAUGAUAAAAUAUUAAUGGGUCCAUUCAUGCAAGGAAAAUGAUCAGUUAAGCAAGUUUGGCCCAGAUCCUAUGAUGGCAGAAUCAAGAGGGAACGAUAGAGCAACUCGUCGCCUUCACGUGUUUUUCUAUGUAAUGUAUUGAAGUGAAGUGUGUAAAGUGGUUGUAUAUGUUCUGCAUGUAGCUGACUCACCUCUGCAUGAACUCCCCAUACACUGGUCUGUGCACAGUAUAGAGCCGCUAGCUUCCCUGCGCUUUCCUCCAAUGUGUUUGCUUUGGCAGCUUCCAAGUGAGUACAAACAUUUCUUCCAAGCAGAUCAAUCACUCUGGCACCAAGAUAGAAAUACACAAAAUGCUGUGGCAAAAUGAAACAGGUCUGAAACAAACCAUGUGUGUCACUAACUCCACAGCAGCUAAAUACAGGUUCCUUCUAUAUGAAAAGAAUCACUUGUACAAUAAAAUCAUUGCAAACAUU